rnacentral:rRNA from 1 species
AGAAUCAACGCUGGCGGCGUGCCUAACACAUGCAAGUCGAACGAGAAAGUGGAGCAAUCCAUGAGUAAAGUGGCGCACGGGUGAGUAACACGUGACUAACCUACCCUUGAGUGGGGAAUAACCUAGGGAAACCUGGGCUAAUACCGCAUAACACCUACGGGUCAAAGGAGCAAUUCGCUUAAGGAGGGGGUCGCGGCAGAUUAGCUAGUUGGCGGGGUAAUGGCCCACCAAGGCAGUGAUCUGUAUCCGGCCUGAGAGGGCGCACGGACACACUGGAACUGAAACACGGUCCAGACUCCUACGGGAGGCAGCAGUGGGGAAUUUUGCGCAAUGGGGGAAACCCUGACGCAGCAACGCCGCGUGGAGGAUGAAGUCCCUUGGGACGUAAACUCCUUUCGACCGGAAGAUUAUGACGGUACCGGAAGAAGAAGCCCCGGCUAACUUCGCGCCAGCAGCCGC